rnacentral:rRNA from 1 species
CCUACGGGUGGCAGCAGUGGGGAAUAUUGGGCAAUGGGCGAGAGCCUGACCCAGCAACGCCGCGUGAAGGAAGAAGGCUUUCGGGUUGGAAACUUCUUUUCUCAGGGACGAAGCAAGUGACGGUACCUGAGGAAUAAGCCACGGCUAACUACGUGCCAGCAGCCGCGGUAAUACGUCGGUGGCAAGCGUUAUCCGGAUUUACUGGGUGUAAAGGGCGUGUAGGCGGGGACGGAAGUCAGAUGGGAAAUCCACGGGCUCAACCUGUGGCCUGCAGUUGAAACUGUGUUUCUUGAGUACUGGAGAGGCAGACGGAAUUCCUAGUGUAGCGGUGAAAUGCGUAGAUAUUAGGAGGAACACCAGUGGCGAAGGCGGUCUGCUGGACAGCAACUGACGCUGAGGCGCGAAAGCGUGGGGAGCAAACAGGAUUAGAUACCCCUGUAGUC